AUUGCAACAUUUGAGGCGGCUGAUAUGAAUUCCAAAGAUGCAUUUGCUGUUUUCUCUCCAGGUGUAGGCAAAAAUGAGAAUAGGAUAUUAUAUUUUUGGGUAGGAAGGUCUUUUGAUCAUGAUGAAAAUCAAAUUCGAUUAGAUAGUAACAAAGAGUUAAAUGAUCUAAAAGAGAACGAUUGGAAUCAAGUUGGUCGUGCUGCUCUUGCCCAAAUGGGUCUUCCGAAAGACACGGCUGUCAAGAUUGUUAAAGAAGAUGAAGAGCCAAUAGAGCUUCUUGCAUUGCUGAGUUCGUUGUAGUGGCAAUGCAAAAAGAUUCUGGAAUCCAGUGCCUUAAAAUCUUUCUCUGUUUCUUUGGUUGGCUUAAUUGCACUUCAACUUUCUCAGGCAUCAUAUUGAACUUUCCCUUGCAAAAACCAGCGAGGAGGCUGAUUUGAAAGUUCUCUGUGGCUCUUCACUUGGUUGUACAGUGCUGUAACACCUUCACUCUCUAGUAACACAUUUUCUUGCACAAUGAAUCAUCAAAUCUGACAAACUGAAUUUUCUUGUAUAUUCGCAAUUAGAAACAAUCUGAGGGCCAUAGCGGAAUAAUAGAUUCGUUGAUACUUUCUUUUGUUGGUUAAUCUUAUUCGUUCUUUA